rnacentral:rRNA from 1 species
UACGGGGGGGGCAAGCGUUGUUCGGAAUUACUGGGCGUAAAGGGCUCGUAGGCGGCCAACUAAGUCAGACGUGAAAUCCCUCGGCUUAACCGGGGAACUGCAUCUGAUACGGGCGGGCUAGAGUUCGGUAGGGGAGACUGGAAUUCCUGGUGUAGCGGUGAAAUGCGCAGAUAUCAGGAGGAACACCGGUGGCGAAGGCGGGUCUCUGGGCCGAUACUGACGCUGAGGAGCGAAAGCGUGGGGAGCGAACAGG